rnacentral:tRNA from 1 species
GGGCGGCUAACUCAGCGGUUAGAGUGCCAUCCUCACACGGUGGAAGUCACUGGUUCGAAUCCAGUGCCGCCCA